CCUCGGCUCCACCUGGAAGUACACGUUCCUUCCUGGGCUCUCCACAUCAAGGGGAAUUUUAAGAAACUGGAUGGAGCUCAGCAGAGGACUACUCAGGACUACUCAGAUUUAUAGGGAACCUGAAAGGAACUAAGCUGGAUCUGUGAAACCACUCUCGCUGCCAAGAGCUGCUCUACGUGAUGAAGUGUAAUAGGUACUUGCAUCAUCUUUCCUGCAACUCAAAUUUCCCAGGAAAGACUGCAGAUCAUUGGAUACGAAAUGGCACGAGAGGUUACAGAACCCCAACUCCAAAUCCGAAUUCAAAGGACCUCAUAAGGACUUGACACCUCUGGAAAUAAAUUAUUUUCGUCCU